GACGAACGCUGGCGGCGUGCCUAAUACAUGCAAGUCGAGCGAAGUUUUUCUGGUUCUUGCACUAGAAAAACUUAGCGGCGAACGGGUGAGUAACACGUAAAGAACCUGCCUCAUUGACUUGGCUAAAUAUUGGAAACGAUAGCUAAUACCGGAUAACAGUAUUUCUCGCAUGAGAGAUAUUUAAAAGUUGGUUAUGCUAAGACUAUGAGAUUGCUUUGCGGUGCAUUGGCUAGUUGGUGGGGUAAAGGCCCACCAGGGCGACGAUGCAUCACCGACCGGAGAGGGUGAUCGGCCACACUGGGACUGAGACACGGCCCAGACGCCUACGGGAGGCGGCAGUAGGGAAGCUUCCGCAAUGGGCGAAAGCCUGACGGAGCAACGCCGCGUGAGUGAAGAAGGAUUUCGGUUCGUAAAGCUCUGUUGUUAGGGAAGAAUGGAUAUGUAGUAACUAUACAUGUAAGAGACGGUACCUAACCAGAAAGCCACGGCUAACUACGUG
rnacentral:rRNA from 1 species